GUCAUGGCUCAGGAUGAACGCUAGCGGCAGGCUUAAUACAUGCAAGUCGUGGGGCAGCAGGUUUGUAGCAAUACAGAUGCUGGCGACCGGCAAACGGGUGCGGAACACGUACAGAACCUUCCUUUGAGCGGGGAAUAGCCCAGAGAAAUUUGGAUUAAUACCCCAUAGUAUAAUGAAGUGGCAUCACUUUAUUAUUAAAGAUUUAUCACUCGAAGAUGGCUGUGCGGCUGAUUAGGUAGUUGGCGGGGUAAAGGCCCACCAAGCCUGCGAUCAGUAACUGGUGUGAGAGCACGACCAGUCACACGGGCACUGAGACACGGGCCCGACUCCUACGGGAGGCAGCAGUAAGGAAUAUUGGUCAAUGGAGGCAACUCUGAACCAGCCAUGCCGCGUGGAGGAUGAAGGUCCUCUGGAUUGUAAACUUCUUUUAUAUGGGACGAAAAAGGCUUUUCUAAGUCGUCUGACGGUACCAUAUGAAUAAGCACCGGCUAACUCCGUG
rnacentral:rRNA from 1 species